rnacentral:lncRNA from 1 species
CUGAACUUGGAAAUGCAUUUCCCCUGUAAACUAAUUUGAGAAGAUAUCCUACUUCAACAAGGUCAAACAAGACACAUCUGUGAACUCUGUGCAGGCUUAGGAGCUGGCAGUUAUGGACCUCUGAUGUACAUGACGUGAGAAGAGGGAACACCAAGUUCUUAUUUGUCCAGCUGGCUCGAAGCUGUUAGGAUGAGCCCUGCAGCUGGAUGAAGCAACUUGUUAAUUAUGGGUUGCCAAACAGUGCUAGACUCUAGGUCAGUCUGGAACAUCCAGGUUCUAAUCAGAAACUCGGGAGCAAAUUCAACUUGGAGAUGAACAGACGUAUUAUCAGUGACUGCUGUUUGGGCUGCUGUUCAAUUUUGGAAAAUUCCUGAACCCUUGAUUGACUUCUACCGAAAACCAGAGCUGAGUUUCUCCCCCAGAAACGGUCCCGGAACUGUGUGAGCACAGAUAUGUCUGGGAGCUACUGGCUUCCAGCAGGUAAUAUUUGCACUCAUCAGACUUGCGGAAUGUACCAACAUUCUGUGCUGUUUGAACCAGGAUCACUGCCAGGAAAAUGCAACACACAAAAAUUGUUCCAGUUACGAAGAAAGAUUCGUCUGCUACAAAACAAGUUUGAAAUACACUUCUGUGUACAGUAUUUUCUCAGAAUCCUUUUCAGAAGGUGGAAGCAUUUUCCUGGAAAGGUAAUUUUGGCAGAGCUCUCUGCAUGUGUGCCAGGAGGCUGGCUUGGCUGGAGGAGGGGCAAGGGCUGGC